rnacentral:rRNA from 1 species
UACGUAGGGGGCAAGCGUUGUCCGGAAUCAUUGGGCGUAAAGCGCGUGUAGGCGGCUCGGUAGGUCCGCUCUGAAAGUCCAGGGCUCAACCCUGGGAUGCGGGUGGAUACUGCCGGGCUCGAGUCCGGAAGAGGCGAGUGGAAUUCCCGGUGUAGAGGUGAAAUUCGUAGAUAUCGGGAGGAACACCAGUGGCGAAGGCGGCGAUCUGGGUUGAUACUGACGCUGAGGUGCGAAAGCGUGGGGAGCAAACAGG